UGUGCUCCUCCGAUCUCACAAAAAGAGAGAGAGAGAGAAAGAAAUAUGCCUGCGUCUAUCUAAAAUCUCGAGGCUGGUGUUCCGUCGAGGGUGAAACGCAUGACAGAAAAUCCUCAAGGUCUUCCUUUGUAUCUACGGCAGAUGAAAAUACUACGGAUCGAUGAUAUACAUUUUGCUGUUUACUUCGUAUUGUGUAACGUUUAAUUAAACGUGAAAUUGUUAUAAUGUCGUGUGUACAAUAUAAAAAGGACAAUUAUUAG